UGCUGCCCAGGAUUAGACUCUGAGUCAUCUCACUCUUUGUCCAGUCUUCUCUCUAAUGGAUUGUGCUGUUUCUCUCUUCUACUGAAAUUGCCCUUUCUCUCCCUCUGCCGACCAGCCUGACCUGGAUCCUCCUUGUUUCAGUCCCAGAAUCAAAUUGGAGCUGGAGUGGAGGUUAGCCAUUAUUUUAUCCUUUUAGUUGCCUGUGUCUGACUGAAGUCCAGGUACCUCACAAAUUGUUGAUGCCCUCACACACAACCAACCUUCCUUUCUCCUUAGAGAGCUGCGUGCCAUAAUGUACCUACUCCCAAAGAGGACUGGAAGCAGGCUGAUUUAAAAUUUCAGAGUUGUAGAAAGUGCACUAAACUAACAGUCAGGAAGUCUGAGUUCUCUCUUAGAAACAGCUCUUAAUCUUUCUGUCUUCAUCUGUGAGAGGAAGGGCUUGAACUGCGUGGUCCCUGAGUUCUAUGGCUUUUCCCUUUAAAAUAGAGCCAGACGAAUGAUCUGAAUUUUAAAUUCCAUCAUGUCACUCACCUGCUCAAAAUUCAGUGACUCUCCUGAGCGUUAGAGAAAGUCCUGAGUCUGGUAGAUUCAAGACCUGACGAAGUUUGCUUUCAACCUACCUUCCCAGCCUUAUCUGCUUUCCCCACCCCCACUCCUCCCACCAGAUACUCCUCUCCUCCUGCCAAACUGGUUCCCACACCCGCCUGGAUCUUCUUGCCUCCUUCCUUUUGAUCAGGCCCUUUCAGUUACCUGGAAAGGCUUACAACUCAGCCUCUCAGAUCAUGACCCACUGAAAACUCACUUCCUUCAUAAAGCUUUCCUAAAACACCCAGCUUGAGGUAUCUCUCCAGGUACUCUUAACACAAGAAAUUAUAGUUUGUACGAUUCAUUUAUGAAGCAUUUUCUUGGGUCAUCUUUCUAUUAUUUAUUUUGAAGUGCUACUUAAAUCUUUAAUUGAGGUUGUCUUUUUCUUCUCAACAAGAUUAGACUUUGGGGGCGAGCCUCCCUAAUAUGUGGCAGUUAAAUGAUUAAUUUGAUUAUGUAAUGAUGAUGUAAGUGAUGGCAUAAAACCAUAAGAAAUUCAGAACUCCUUUAAAUGCCUGGUGUGGGUUUGCUCACAUUCCUUGUUCCUUCCUCUGUCUUUCUGCUUUCUUCCUCAUGGAACUCAUUCACUCAGUCUUAAAGGUCAUGUCUUUCUCAGUACACGUCUUCAGCCUAGCUGCUCUCCGUGAGCUCCAGUGUCAUUUCCCCAAAUACUAAUUGGAUGCUACCCAUUACCUUAAACUCAACAUGUUAAAAGGAAGGGGAAAAAACUAGGUCAGCAUUUUUUCUUUCCAACUCAUACACCCUUACUGAGUUUGUAACUCCUUUAAUGGAACAACUGUCUUUCUAGACUCCUAGGUUCACCCACGAUGCUCUUCACUCCCUUUUCUCUUGGCUAAUAUUCACCGUCUUAUGGUUCUUCCUCUUUUUUUUCUGGUUCUUCCUUCAUGAUGUCUGCUGUAUCCCCUUCCUUACCUUCUGAUAACCCUAGUCUCCACCCUGACCCAGGUUCUUUUCAUCUCACUGUUUUAGAAGCUCCAUUCCUGGGUUUUUUUCCUUUAGUUUCUCCUGCACCUAUUCUGUUUUGUCCAGUAUAGUCAGAUUUAUCUUCUUAAAACAGCACAUCAGUUUUAAGAAGGUGAAUUUAAUUUUAAUACUAUAUUUUCUUAAACCAGUAUAUCCAGAAUAUUAUAAUUUCAACAUGUAAUCAAUACAAGAAAUAUCAAUGAGAUAUUUUACAUUCUUUUUUUUCCAAACCAAGUCUUUGAAAUCUGGUGUGUACUUUACACUUAAAUUCACAUCUCAAUUAGGACCGGCCACGUUUCAGUGCGCAAUCUGCCGCAUGUGGCUACUGGCUACCAUACUAAGGCAGUACAGAUCUACAGUAACCACUGAUCCUUAACUCACUCUGCCCUCUCCAUCCUUGGUUCUUGGCCUGUCCAAGCUCUAUCUCUCCUCCCUGACUCCAGGAGGCUUCCCAAAAUCUCCUGGCCUUCAGCAACAUCUCCCAACUUACCUCUUUCGUGAACGCUUAAUUUCACUGGGCAAAUCCCAGCCGGCUCUUCCACAGGAAACAGCCUCCUUUAUUUCUGUCCUCCCACUGCUCCCUGAGUGCAAUCUACAAAUAACUGAUCAUAAGUGAACGUUUGUGAAACUUAUUAUCAGUAAGUUCACUGAAAACACUAGUUACUCUCUCUACAUGUUUUUUUUUUUUUACUUGUAAAGAAGGUCUAUGGUAGAACGCAGAUUAUAAUUUUUUUUUUUUUAGGAAGAUUAGCCCUGAGCUAACAUCUGUGCCCAUCUUCCUCUACUUUAUAUGCGGGACACCUGCCACAGCAUGGCUUGAUAAGCAGUGCAUAGAUCUGCACCCGGGAUCCAAACCGGUGAACCCCAGGCCACCAAAGUGAACUUAACCACUGCACCACCAGGCUGGCCCCUGCAGAUUAUAAUUUUUAAAGUGUGAACAUACUUGUAUCACUAUGUAAUCUAGUUAACCACCUAAUUUUAAGAUUACUUUCAAGACUUUCAUAUGAACUUGAUUUUCUAUUUCCACUUCAUUUCUCCGCCUUAUACUGAUUUCUAUAAUAUUUUUUUAGGUUGUUUUCCCCAGUCCUGAUUUUUCCCUUUCAUUAUAUCAGGCUUUUGGUUUCUGACUGUUUUCAUAAUAUCAUCAAGUUCAUUUCACGUGACACCAAGUUAAGUACUGUACAAAUGAAAUUGCACAGGUAUAUGUUCAUUUUCAGUUGAAGGCCAGCAACACUGCCCUGGGACACAGGGCACGUGGGCAGUAAGUGAACAAAAGCCUUCCAGCUCCUGUCCCAGCUCUCCUUCCCAGCUGCCAUGGAACGUGUGCUCCGGCAUUCUGUUACCUUCACCUACCAUGGGAAGCUCCUCAGUUUAAAAUAUUGUACAAAACAAGUUUCAGAAGUGAUGUAUGGCGGGAUUCAAAAGGAUGGACAGGCCACUGGUUGGAGAAGAAGCUCCCCGGUAGAUAGUUGUAUGUUUUUAGAUGUGGGUCCUUCUACUGAUGGCAUGUGGGAUGCCGCCACAGCGUGGCCUGAUGAGCGGUGCCGUGUAGGCACUCAGGAUCCGAACCGGCAAAACCCCGAGCCGCCAAAGCAGAGCACGUGAACUUAACCACUCAGCCACGGGGAGGGACCCUUAACAUCAUUGUUUUUAAACCUACUCAACUUGAAAGUGAUGUAUUUCCUUAAAAAAAUGAACUUUUUGAUUUAUCUGGACAGGUCCCAAGUGAGUUACUUUCUCUAUUGAUUUAUAUUGCAUGCCCAUAUAUUUAAGAUGGAGUUGGGAAGGACUAAAAUAUGCAUGUUACACUUGAACAAAUGCUCAUUUUAAGGAGGUAUAUCUUCUUCUGGAUCUCUCAUUAGGCACCAAGUAUCUACUUAUUGUUUCAUUGAUUUGAUUGUUAAAUAUCAAUUAAGGCUGUGAAGUUGGGCAUAGAAAAUUAAAUAAGCUGAGCUUUGUUCCAUAAUAGCAGUGAAAUCUCCCUCUAAUAGACUCUGCCUUGGCCUAUUAAUUUAAUUCAUACAGCGUGUUUUCAAGUACCUAUCACCUUUAAUAAGAAAAUGGAAAGUGAAAGGGGGAAAUGUAUUUCAGGUGCCGUGACUGUGAAAACCAUAUAUUGGUAAGCUCUUGAUUUCUUGAUCUGAGUAUGUUUUUAAAAGAGCAACAUGGAAAUUAACUUCCUUGC
rnacentral:lncRNA from 1 species